rnacentral:rRNA from 1 species
UGGAUGAGCUGUGGGUAGGGGUGAAAGGCCAAUCAAACUCGGAGAUAGCUGGUUCUCUGCGAAAUCUAUUUAGGUAGAGCGUCAUCCGAAUACCCCCGGGGGUAGAGCACUGGAUGGGUAAUGGGGCCCCACAGGCUUACUGAUCCUAACCAAACUCCGAAUACCGGGGAGUACUAGAUGGCAGACACACGGCGAAUGCUAACGUCCGUCGUGAAGAGGGAAACAACCCUGACCUACAGCUAAGGCCCCUAAUUCAUGGCUAAGUGGGAAAGCAGGUGGGACGACCAAAACAACCAGGAGGUUGGCUUAGAAGCAGCCAUCCUUUAAAGAUAGCGUAACAGCUCACUGGUCUAAAUAAGUUGUCCUGCGGCGAAGAUGUAACGGGGCUCAAGCCAUGAGCCGAAGCUUAGGAUGCACAUAGUGCAUGGUAGCAGAGCGUAGUGUGACAUAACUCCAUGUCUCCUUACCCACUUCGGUGGGAUUGGAGACGAGGAGUUUUCUGUGAAGCCGGCGCGUGAGCGAUCCGGUGGAGAGAUCACUAGUGAGAAUGAUGACAUGAGUAGCGACAAAGAGUGUGAGAGACACUCUCGCCGAAAGUCCAAGGGUUCCUGCUUAAAGCUAAUCUGAGCAGGGUAAGCCGACCCCUAAGGCGAGGCCGAAAGGCGUAGUCGAUGGGAACCAGGUUAAUAUUCCUGGGCCGUGGAGUGGUGACGGAUCUCGAAGGUAGUUCAUCCUUAUUGGAUUGAAUGGGCUGCUUAGAGGUUCCUGGAAAUAGCCCUCCUAUAAGAUCGUACCCUAAACCGACACAGGUGGAUAGGUAGAGAAUACCAAGGCGCUUGAGAGAACUAUGUUGAAGGAACUCGGCAAAAUACCUCCGUAAGUUCGCGAGAAGGAGGCCCAGUUUCUACGCAAGUAUUGACUGGGGGCACAAACCAGGGGGUGGCGACUGUUUAUUAAAAACACAGGGCUCUGCGAAGUAAUAAGAGG